UUGGUUGAUUGGUCGCUGUAUUUCUAUACAGAGGAAAGUCCGGGCUUCAAAUAAGCAGAAUGCCGGGUUAAUGCCCGGCGUGUGGCAAUGUUUUGCUAUACAGGGAAAGCGCAACAGAAAGUAUACCGCCGGCUUUACAUAUGUCGGUAAGGGUGAAAAGGUGAGGUAAAAGCUCACCGUGCGUACAAACGUACGUAGCGUGGCAAGCCCCAUUCGAAGCAAGACCAAAUAGGGACGGUGAGAUUUUAUUAUCACGGGUGCUUAUUACCGAACCGUUCGGGUAGGUUGCUAGAAACUGUUGGUAACGGCAGUUCCAGAUAAAUGAUCAAUCAGAUUUUGCGGAUAUAAUUGCGGCGAGAAGCCGUGAGAAUUUGCAAUUUCGGACAGAACCCGGCUUAUAAACCAAUC
rnacentral:RNase_P_RNA from 1 species